CGGAGAGGUGGCUGAGCGGUUUAAAGCGGCAGAUUGCUAAUCUGUUGUACGAGAAUAAUAUCGUACCGAGGGUUCGAAUCCCUCUCUCUCC
rnacentral:tRNA from 1 species